rnacentral:rRNA from 1 species
GACGAACGCUGGCGGCGUGCCUAAUACAUGCAAGUAGAACGCACAGUUUAUACCGUAGCUUGCUACACCAUAGACUGUGAGUUGCGAACGGGUGAGUAACGCGUAGGUAACCUGCCUGGUAGCGGGGGAUAACUAUUGGAAACGAUAGCUAAUACCGCAUAAUAUUAAUUAUUGCAUGAUAAUUAAUUGAAAGGUGCAAUUGCACCACUACCAGAUGGACCUGCGUUGUAUUAGCUAGUAGGUGAGGUAACGGCUCACCUAGGCGACGAUACAUAGCCGACCUGGGAAGGUGAUCGGCCAAACUGGGACUGGGACACGGCCCAGACUCCUACGGGAGGCAGCAGUAGGGAAUCUUCGGCAAUGGACGAAAGGCUGACCGGGCAACGCCGCGGUAGUGAAGGAGGUUUUCGGAUCGUAAAGCUCUUUUUUAAGAGAAGAACGGGUGUGAGAGUGGAAAGUUCACACUGUGACGGUAUCUAACCAGAAAGGGACGGCUAACUACGUG